AGCAGCAUGGCUCAGUGGAAAGAGCCUGGGCUUCAGAGUCAGGGGUCAUGGGUUCGACUCCCGACUCUGCCA
rnacentral:tRNA from 1 species